rnacentral:tRNA from 1 species
GGAGGGUUCGCAUAGUGGCCGAGUGCAUCCGCCUUGAAAGCGGAAGACGGGAGACCGUCCGGGAGUUCGAAUCUCCCACCCUCCG